UUGACAUUAAGCAUAAAAAACGUGCUAGCUGAUGCUCUAUCUAGAGUGUAGCUUGGUAAGUCUGUUUGAGAUAAACAUGACAUGUUUAUUCUUAUGGGGUGGAGUGUUACGUCCCAUGUUAUUAUUUGUUUUGGGAAUGGUAUUUUGUUUGUUUGUUUUCUUCCCUCUUCUUUUUUUCUCUGUCUUUACUUUCGUUUCAGCAGGGUGAUGCGGGUACCUGAGUGGUCAAAUCUUUUGCAAAUCACCAUGACGCGUGGUGACGACAACGCGCGGCUUCACCAAUGAGGGCGCCCUAGUUGAUUAUUAAAGAGCGCAGCUGUGCAGGAAGCGGGAGCUCUCUGGCACGCCACACAUUCUGUUGUUGUUUGGUGAUUGACUCGCGUGCUUGUUUUGCCCUGUACCAUCCUUGUGUUUGAUACCUGUUGGUUAAGUCUGUGUUCUUUGAUAAGUCAGUGUUUAACAGCCCGUUCGAUCUUUUCUCUUUGGUGUUUCUCGCCGUUUCUGUUAUCUGGUUGAUAAACCGACAUUACUAAAUGGGGAAAGAGAUAACAGAAGAAAGACGGACGCUGGCACUGAUUGCCCUGGUAUAAGCACAUCUGGUUUGAUCUAACGGAGGGUGAUCCCUGUAACCUGCUCACAGAUGUUUCCUAUCACAAUCUCACAGAGGUCAUCCCUUCUGCCUUGUGCCGUUACAUGGACAAAACAAAA